AUUGAACGCUGGCGGCAGGCCUAACACAUGCAAGUCGAGCGGAUGAAGGGAGCUUGCUCCUGGAUUCAGCGGCGGACGGGUGUGUAAUGCCUAGGAAUCUGCCUGGUAGUGGGGGAUAACGUCCGGAAACGGGCGCUAAUACCGCAUACGUCCUGAGGGAGAAAGUGGGGGAUCUUCGGACCUCACGCUAUCAGAUGAGCCUAGGUCGGAUUAGCUAGAUGGUGGGGUAAAGGCCUACCAAGGCGACGAUCCGUAACUGGUCUGAGAGGAUGAUCAGUCACACUGGAACUGAGACACGGUCCAGACUCCUACGGGAGGCAGCAGUGGGGAAUAUUGGACAAUGGGCGAAAGCCUGAUCCAGCCAUGCCGCGUGUGUGAAGAAGGUCUUCGGAUUGUAAAGCACGUUAAGUUGGGAGGAAGGGCAGUAAGUUAAUACCUUGCUGUUUUGACGUUACCAACAGAAUAAGCACCGGCUAACUUCGUG
rnacentral:rRNA from 1 species